CCUCCUUCCUGUGUGCUUGGUGAAGGUGUGGCUCAGGAGACACACCUGUGAGUGAUCUGAAUCAGCAGCACUACAAAUACCUGGUCCUCCUGCCACUUCAGUGCCGGAUUGUUCCUUCGCCACGGCGAUACUCCUGCUACCUGUUUUUCACCAGGCGUCUUGGAGCUGGCUUCCUGGAUAUUUUUGUUUUACUUCAGUUGUCUCCACAAUAAAUUGAUUGUACUCUUCAA